UACAGAGGGUGCGAGCGUUAAUCGGAAUUACUGGGCGUAAAGCGCACGUAGGCGGCUUGGUAUGUCGGGUGUGAAAUCCCGGGGCUCAACCUCGGAACUGCCUUUGAUACAGCAAGUCUUGAGUUCGAGAGAGGUGGGUGGAAUUCCUGGUGUAGCGGUGAAAUGCGCAGAUAUCAGGAGGAACACCGGUGGCGAAGGCGGGUCUCUGGGCCGAUACUGACGCUGAGGCGCGAAAGCGUGGGGAGCAAACAGG
rnacentral:rRNA from 1 species